GGAUCCAGACUUUGAUUAUGGCUCAGGAUGAACGCUAGCUACAGGCUUAACACAUGCAAGUCGAGGGGCAGCGGGAUUGAAGCUUGCUUCAAUUGCCGGCGACCGGCGCACGGGUGAGUAACGCGUAUCCAACCUUCCGUACACUCAGGGAUAGCCUUUCGAAAGAAAGAUUAAUACCUGAUAGUAUCUUAAGCACACAUGUAAUUAAGAUUAAAGAUUUAUCGGUGUACGAUGGGGAUGCGUUCCAUUAGGUAGUAGGCGGGGUAACGGCCCACCUAGCCGACGAUGGAUAGGGGUUCUGAGAGGGAGGUCCCCCACAUUGGAACUGAGACACGGUCCAAACUCCUACGGGAGGCAGCAGUGAGGAAUAUUGGUCAAUGGACGAGAGUCUGAACCAGCCAAGUAGCGUGAAGGAUGAAGGUCCUACGGAUUGUAAACUUCUUUUAUAAGGGAAUAAACCCUUCCACGUGUGGGAGCUUGUAUGUACCUUAUGAAUAAGCAUCGGCUAACUCCGUGCCAGCAGCCGCGGUAAUACGGAGGAUGCGAGCGUUAUCCGGAUUUAUUGGGUUUAAAGGGAGCGCAGACGGGUCGUUAAGUCAGCUGUGAAAGUUUGGGGCUCAACCUUAAAAUUGCAGUUGAUACUGGCGUCCUUGAGUGCGGUUGAGGUGUGCGGAAUUCGUGGUGUAGCGGUGAAAUGCUUAGAUAUCACGAAGAACUCCGAUUGCGAAGGCAGCACACUAAGCCGUAAUUGACGUUCAUGCUCGAAAGUGUGGGUAUCAAACAGGAUUAGAUACCCUGGUAGUCCACACGGUAAACGAUGGAUACUCGCUGUUGGCGAUAUACUGUCAGCGGCUUAGCGAAAGCGUUAAGUAUCCCACCUGGGGAGUACGCCGGCAAC
rnacentral:rRNA from 1 species